AUUGAACGCUGGCGGUAGGCCUAACACAUGCAAGUCGAACGGCAGCAGAGUGAUUGCUCCUGCAUUCAGCGGCCGACGGGCGGAUAAUGCCUAGGUACAUGCCUGUCUGCUGGUGCUAACGUCAGGAAGUGGGGGCUCAUACGCCAUUAGUGCAUACGGCGUAAGUGGGGGAUCUUGGGAUCUUCCGCCAUUACGCGAGUCGAGGUCGGAUUAGCUAGUUGGUGGGGUAAAGGCCUACCAAGGCGACGAUCCGUAACUGGUCUGAGAGGAUGAUCAGUCACACUGGAACUGAGACACGGUCCAGACUCCUACGGGAGGCAGCAGUGGGGAAUAUUGGACAAUGGGCGAAAGCCUGAUCCAGCCAUACCGCGUGGGUGAAGAAGGCCUUCGGAUUGUAAAGCACUUUAGGUGGGAAGGAAGAGCAGUAGGUUAAUACCUCGCUGUUUUGACGGUACCAAAAGAAUAAGCACCGGCUAACUUCGUG
rnacentral:rRNA from 1 species